GGAGAUAACAGUAUUUAACAAGUAUUUUAUAACUUUUUUGUCAAUAUUGUUCUUGCAAGUUAUAAAGUAUUUCUAUAGUUUGAAUUCCUCUUUUUAUGGUUGAUAUGCAUCACCUAUGGUAUGACGAUUUAUAUUUUUGUUUGACUUUCGAAAAUGGGAUUGUUGUCGUGGAAGAAACUUGUCUCUAAGAUUUCAGCUGAGGUACAGAGUGAGUAGCUCGUCAUUGUGUCUAAGUUUGGCAUUUCUUGGUGUGAACCUGCCUCUACUAUUUGCAAUAGAUAGCUUGCACUUUUUAUUUUGGAGAACAUUACAAAUUUGGAAUCUUAGUGUUAUUUUGCUGAACUAACCUGAGGUUAAUUUAUUUGGUCCUAGAAUGGAAGUAGCCUCUUUGAAUGGCUGUUAAACUUACUUUUCAUAUAUACAUAUUGGACCUUAUACUUUGACAAUUGACAUCAUUGUUUGGAAAGCUUAUUUAUUGGAAUUUACUUGAGCAAAAUAUCAUGAUCAGCUUUUAGUUCCUUAAAUUGUUACACUAGAUAUUCGGAUAUGCUAGUAGAUUGCAUUUGCAUGACUAAGGAAGUCCGUGCAUGGGUUGAGUUCUUGUCAUGUACCAGAUGUUUAUUAAUUUAGAAUUGUCACAACCCCAGUAGAUAUUGCUUCUUACAAAGAGCAGUAGAUGAUGUCUGAACUUAUCAGUAUUUCAUAUCCGCUAAUGGUACAUUUUUAUCUUUUCCGAUGUGGAAGCAUCUGCAUGACUUUAAGCAUAAUAUUAACAAUGGUUCAAUGAUUUUCAGCUUGUUAUAUAGCUUCUUUGGUAGUUGAAAAUAAAUAAAAUUGUGCAUGUGCAACCAGUCAUUAUUAUAUGGAUAAUAUGUGAUCCUUUUGAUACUUUUUGUGAUCAUUAUUACUUUUCACAAGUUAAUCAGAGAACUGGAAGGGAAAGGAAAUGAUGCUCAAAGAAAACCAAGCUCAAACCUCUGUGUGGCUGACACUAGAAUAUCGCUCAUAUGAUUUUGUAAAUUUGAUGUCGAGGAAAAUUUGGCGAGUCAUGCAUUAAAUUGGAGUUUUUUGCUUGGAAAGUAUAGUGAAUGCUUUUGAUUGUACCAAAGUUUGUUGAUUGGAAAGUAUAGUAGAUACUUUCUAUUAUACCAGGCAUGUUUUUGUGACGCUUAUUAACUUCGAUUUUUCUUGUGCUUGUCGGAAGUUAAUUUUUUAAUAAUAACGUAGUUCUUGCA